rnacentral:rRNA from 1 species
GAUGAACGCUGGCGGCGUGCCUAAUACAUGCAAGUCGAGCGAACGGACGAGAAGCUUGCUUCUCUGAUGUUAGCGGCGGACGGGUGAGUAACACGUGGAUAACCUACCUAUAAGACUGGGAUAACUUCGGGAAACCGGAGCUAAUACCGGAUAAUAUUUUGAACCGCAUGGUUCAAAAGUGAAAGACGGUCUUGCUGUCACUUAUAGAUGGAUCCGCGCUGCAUUAGCUAGUUGGUAAGGUAACGGCUUACCAAGGCAACGAUGCAUAGCCGACCUGAGAGGGUGAUCGGCCACACUGGAACUGAGACACGGUCCAGACUCCUACGGGAGGCAGCAGUAGGGAAUCUUCCGCAAUGGGCGAAAGCCUGACGGAGCAACGCCGCGUGAGUGAUGAAGGUCUUCGGAUCGUAAAACUCUGUUAUUAGGGAAGAACAUAUGUGUAAGUAACUGUGCACAUCUUGACGGUACCUAAUCAGAAAGCCACGGCUAACUACGUGCCAGCAGCCGCGGUAAUACGUAGGUGGCAAGCGUUAUCCGGAAUUAUUGGGCGUAAAGCGCGCGUAGGCGGUUUUUUAAGUCUGAUGUGAAAGCCCACGGCUCAACUUUGGAGGGUCAUUGGAAACUGGAAAACUUGAGUGCAGAAGAGGAAAGUGGAAUUCCAUGUGUAGCGGUGAAAUGCGCAGAGAUAUGGAGGAACACCAGUGGCGAAGGCGACUUUCUGGUCUGUAACUGACGCUGAUGUGCGAAAGCGUGGGGAUCAAACAGGAUUAGAUACCCUGGUAGUCCACGCCGUAAACGAUGAGUGCUAAGUGUUAGGGGGUUUCCGCCCCUUAGUGCUGCAGCUAACGCAUUAAGCACUCCGCCUGGGGAGUACGACCGCAAGGUUGAAACUCAAAGGAAUUGACGGGGACCCGCACAAGCGGUGGAGCAUGUGGUUUAAUUCGAAGCAACGCGAAGAACCUUACCAAAUCUUGACAUCCUUUGACAACUCUAGAGAUAGAGCUUUCCCCUUCGGGGGACAAAGUGACAGGUGGUGCAUGGUUGUCGUCAGCUCGUGUCGUGAGAUGUUGGGUUAAGUCCCGCAACGAGCGCAACCCUUAAGCUUAGUUGCCAUCAUUAAGUUGGGCACUCUAAGUUGACUGCCGGUGACAAACCGGAGGAAGGUGGGGAUGACGUCAAAUCAUCAUGCCCCUUAUGAUUUGGGCUACACACGUGCUACAAUGGACAAUACAAAGGGCAGCGAAACCGUGAGGUCAAGCAAAUCCCAUAAAGUUGUUCUCAGUUCGGAUUGUAGUCUGCAACUCGACUACAUGAAGCUGGAAUCGCUAGUAAUCGUAGAUCAGCAUGCUACGGUGAAUACGUUCCCGGGUCU